AGCCAGUCUGGUGGCUGUUCCUGUGUGUUUACUACACGGACCAGGCAGCAGCAGACACUUGGCUUCACAUGCACCUAACUAACAGCAGCCAGCUAAACACUUUAUAGUUCCAUCUGAAAGAGAAUCUCCAAGAAUCCAACAUGCCCAAGAGAAAGCAGGGAGCCGCUGGGGACACCAAGGAGGAGCCCCAGAGGAGAUCCGCCCGGUUAUCAGCGAAACCAGCCCCAGCCAAGACUGAACCCAAGGCCAAGAAGGAGAAACCAGCAAAG